GACGAACGCUGGCGGCGUGCUUAACACAUGCAAGUUGAACGGUCCGGCAUGGAAGCUUGCUGAAGUGUCGGGUAGUAGCGGACGGGUGAGUAAUGCAUGAGAAGCUGCCAUUGGGAGGGGGACAACAGUUGGAAACGGCUGCUAAUACCCCAUAUGCCGGAAGGUGAAACGGAGUGAUCCGCCCGAUGAGGUGCUCAUGUCCUAUCAGCUAGUUGGUGAGGUAACGGCUCACCAAGGCGACGACGGGUAGCCGGCCUGAGAGGGUGACCGGCCACACUGGAACUGAGAUACGGUCCAGACUCCUACGGGAGGCAGCAGUGGGGAAUUUUGGAUAAUGGGCGCAAGCCUGAUCCAGCCAUGCCGCGUGCAGGAUGAAGGCCUUCGGGUUGUAAACUUGACUUUUGUACGGAACGAAAAGCUCUCUCUAAUACAGGGGUAAUGACGUACCGUAAGAAUAAGCACCGGCUAACUACGUGCCAGCAGCCGCGGU
rnacentral:rRNA from 1 species